rnacentral:rRNA from 1 species
AGUAAUGUCUGGGAAACUGCCUGAUGAGGGGGAUAACUGCUGGAAACGGUAGCUAAUACCGCAUAACGUCGCAAGACCAAAGAGGGGGACCUUCGGGCCUCUUGCCAUCGGAUGUGCCCAGAUGGGAUUAGCUAGUAGGUGGGGUAACGGCUCACCUAGGCGACGAUCCCUAGCUGGUCUGAGAGGAUGACCAGCCACACUGGAGCUGAGACACGGUCCAG